rnacentral:rRNA from 1 species
CACGUAUUUAGCCGUCGCUUCUUCUGCAGGUACCGUCACUUUCUUCUUCCCUGCUGAAAGCACUUUACAAUCCGAAAACCUUCUUCGUGCACACAGAAUUGCUUGAUCAGGGUUGCCCCCAUUGUCCAAUAUUCCCCACUGCUGCCUCCCGUAGGAGUAAGGGCCGUAUCUCAGUCCCCUUGUGGCCGUUCACCCUCUCAGGCCGGCUACCUAUCAUCGCCUUGGUGGGCCGUUACCCCACCAACUAGCUAAUAGGACGCAAGGCUCUCCUGCAGCGUCUCCUUUCAUCAGGCCGGCAUGCGCCAGCCUGACAGUACCAGGUGUUAUCAGUCGUUUCCGUCUGUUAUCCCUGUCUGCAGGGCAAGUUCCUUACGCGUUACUCACCCGUCGCCUUGGCUAGGCUGCGCAGCGCAGCUUCGCCAAUGACUUGCAUGUGUAAGCAUUCUGUCAGCGUUCAUCCUGAGCCAGGACUCAAACUCUCUAG